UACGUAGGUGGCGAGUGUUAUUCGGAUUUACUGGGCGUAAAGGGUGCGUAGGCGGACAGGUAAGUCAGUGGUGAAAUCUCCGAGCUUAACUCGGAAACUGCCGUUGAUACUAUUUGUCUUGAAUAUUGUGGAGGUAAGCGGAAUAUGUCAUGUAGCGGUGAAAUGCUUAGAUAUGACAUAGAACACCAAUUGCGAAGGCAGCUUACUACACAAUGAUUGACGCUGAGGCACGAAAGCGUGGGGAUCAAACAGG
rnacentral:rRNA from 1 species